CGGCGAGUGAAGCGGCAACAGCUCAAAUUUGAAAUCUGGAGCCUUUGUGGCUUCCGAGUUGUAAUUUGCAGAGGGAGUCUCGGAGGGCGAGUCGGUCCAAGUGCCUUGGAACAGGAUACCGCAGAGGGUGAGAGUCCCGUAUCUGGCCGAUUUCGCGCUCCGUGUGAGGCCCCUUCGACGAGUCGAGUUGUUUGGGAAUGCAGCUCCAAGCGGGUGGUAAAUUCCAUCUAAAGCUAAAUACCGGCCAGAGACCGAUAGCGAACAAGUAGAGUGAUCGAAAGAUGAAAAGCACUUUGAAAAGAGAGUCAAACAGUACGUGAAAUUGUUGAAAGGGAAGCGCAUGGGGGCAGACUUGGACGCGGGGUUCAGGACGUCCUGUGACGUCUGUACUUCCCCGCGGACAGGCCAGCAUCGGUUUCGGGGGCCGGACAAAGGCGCUGGGAACGUGGCUCUCUUCGGAGAGUGUUAUAGCCCAGCGCGCAAUGCGGCC
rnacentral:rRNA from 2 species